rnacentral:sRNA from 1 species
UACACAACUAAAAAAAUAAAUACACAACUAAUCUACAGCACUGUCCUUUGUUACUGCCAAUCAUUCACUUUACUGACCAACACUUCUGACAACAUCUGAUCAAACAACAGCACAAUGACUAGAUCACUUAUUUGUGACUUCAAUGUGAUCAAAACAAAAAACUCCAGUCAAAUCAACUUAGAGCUGAACACAUAUCAAUGGCAGAUCAAUGCCAGCUGUCCCCAUGCACUGUAAUACCAAGUAUCCACUGGGAAUGGAUUUGAAUGUUAAUAAUAAUAAUAAUUCAUUUAAAAAUAAACUUGAUUAAACAUCCAUACAACAUUUCCUGCUAGUCAACUAAGAGUGAUAAAAUCCUAAUAGUCUUAGUUACUACAGAACAGUGUGUGAAUCAUUUCAUUGUAAUGGGUACUAUUUAACUCACAGACUUGUGUCUUAAUAUUAUUAUUUAUUGCUGUCACAUUGUAUCAACUGGCUCCAAAGUUUCGUAUUGCUGGUAUCUCAGGCAACAUCCGCAGGCUAGCUGAUUUAUGUGCUGAAAUCUGAACUAAAUGUAACGGCCAGGUGAAAAUCACAAAAGAAUCAAUCACUGAACUAUAAAAACACUACUAAAAUAGGGCUUUGAAAGAGAUUGCCACAAGAACCAUUCGACUAGUGAUCUCAAUGAGAUGAUUAAAAUCAAGAAACAAAACUCAUCCAUCCUGAAAGAGCGACACAAACUCAAAACCAGUGUCCAUGUGGUGUUGGAUAAGAAACACAAGAAACACACAAAAUAACGUUUAAUUAAAUAAACAUAAAACUCCUAAAAAAACAAAUAUCACAGUCUUAAUUUCCUCAAGUACAAACUGAAAGAUGUUCUAGAGAUAGUCGUAGAUGGCAGACUUAACCCAGAGACAACCAUCUUUUGAUAAUAAGAGCUCAGAGAUCCUUUUUUGCUCGAGUAAAUAUAUACAUUCUCAUCCUCCAGCCCAAGGGGAAGAAUUAGCAACGAGUCAGUCAGGGCUUUAACGUAUAUAUAGAUAGACAAUUUGAAAACAGCUCUUAUUUUUUUGGACAGAGUUAAUACAAAGAUUAUUUUUUGAGAACAGCUCUGAGAUUCUAUUUAGUAGAGUAAAUAUAAAGUAUAGUUUUGAAAAGCUCUGAGAGAUUCUAAUGUUCACAAUGAAUAGGAAUUCAUGUAUACAAUUUAAUGAACAAGAAAUAGUAUCAUCACAAAAAACAGUAUUGGAUAAAAAAAAAUGUAAAAAGCAACGGAAACUAACAAGUAAAAAAAAACAAAAACUUGUUUAAAUUCUAGAAAGGUGACAAUGUCAAAUAUGACAAGUAAAAUACUGGCUGAGACGUCACACAGUCAUGACAGUGAAAGAAAAAGAAAAGUAUUCAAGGUAUCCUAGAACACAUCUGCUUCACCUAGACAAUUUUAGGUUAUGCUGGACUUAUUUAAAGCAGAAUGCUGUGUGCCUACUUGGACACAAUUUGUGAGAUACAUUUUAAAAAAAAGAAUACAAUUUUAGCCAGUAAAUAAUUUUUUAAAGAUUUACAAUAAAUCAGUUUACGGUAGUGGCCAUAUUGUGUGCCGAAAUAAAUGACAAGGAGAAUUUUUUUUUUUUAGGUGAAAUCCUAAAGCCAGGUGAGUUUUCUUCAAAAGUGACACCCAACUGGUCAAAAAAAUUGUAUCAAUCUUUUUUUGUUCCUUUGAUAAGCAAUGUGUAAAUAUUUAUACUAAGAAAAAAAUAAAAUUCUAUACCUAGCUAAUGGGUUGAUCUUGAACAUAUUCAAAGUUUACGAGUGUAUCAAGGAAUACUAAACAGGUAUAGAAAGCCUACCAGGACAGACCAACUGAACAAAGGGAAAGCUAAAAAAAAGCAUUAGAAACCAGUACAGACUCUAAGUACUGAGUUGUCUCAGCUGUAGCUAUUGCAUGGUAGAAUAAGUUUCACAGAACAACAAUUGUAAAUGGCAAGAAAUAGUUGUCUAGAUAUCAAGCAGACAAAAUGGAAUCAAUGCAUUGAUUGGAUUGGACACACAGAAAUAAAUACAGAUAUAAGCUAAGUGUACAACAGCAGCAGUCAAUGGCUGGGAGGGAACAGCUUAAUGAACAUUAUGGCUUUAAAGUGGUGCUGAGUAGUCAGUCAAUGGGUGGAGUCAGUCAAAGGUUGGAGUCAGUCAAUGGGUGGAGUCAAAGGGUGGAGUCAGUCAAUGGGUGGAGUCAGUCAAUGGCUGGGAGGGAACAGCUUAAUGAACAUUAUGACUUUAAAGUGAUGCUGAGUGGUCAGUCAAUGGGUGGAGUCAGUCAAUGGCUGGGAGGGAACAGCUUAAU